rnacentral:ncRNA from 1 species
ACGUCGAGACUGCGUCGAAUUUGCAGGUUUGAGUUCACUCAACUCGACGU